AGGACGAACGCUGGCGGCGUGCUUAACACAUGCAAGUCGAGCGGUAAGGCCCUUUCGGGGGUACACGAGCGGCGAACGGGUGAGUAACACGUGGGUGACCUGCCCUUAGCUCUGGGAUAAGCCUGGGAAACUGGGUCUAAUACCGGAUAUGACCUCGCGAUGCAUGUCGUGGGGUGGAAAGCCUUGUGCGGCUAGGGAUGGGCCCGCGGCCUAUCAGCUUGUUGGUGGGGUGAUGGCCUACCAAGGCGACGACGGGUAGCCGGCCUGAGAGGGCGACCGGCCACACUGGGACUGAGACACGGCCCAGACUCCUACGGGAGGCAGCAGUGGGGAAUCUUGCGCAAUGGGCGAAAGCCUGACGCAGCGACGCCGCGUGAGGGAUGACGGCCUCGGGUUGUAACCUCUUUCAGCCCUGACGAAGCGAAGUGACGGUAGGGCAGAAGAAGCACCGGCCAACUACGCGCCAGCAGCCGCGGUAA
rnacentral:rRNA from 1 species